AAGGCGGCUGGAGCUCCAGGUUCAUAGCAGCUCCCUGUCUGCCACCUCCCGAGAGGCCAGUCCCCCCUGGCCAGGGCCCGCCCGUCACACACCAGUCUGAGGGAGGCUGUGUGCCUGUCUCCCGGAGCAUCCUCCACGAUGACCUGCAGCUUUCCUCGUCCUCGGAGGAGAGCGACCGGGAGUGAGACACCUCAUGUCCUCGGACACUCGUCCUCUGGCUCUUGUGACCCCGAGCAGAUUCUAUGAGAAAUCCAGCGCCAGGAGAGCAAGAGGUCGUCCACUCGAAUGUAAAGUUAAGGAUCUGUGAAAUGAACGUGUAGUGGGUUUGCGAAUGUCUGAAUGUGGGGGCGCCGGAGGAAUGAUUCCGGUCCGGGCUGGGCAAGUGGAGGCAAUCUUUUGUUUUAGAACAGUUCACUGAUACCGUUUUUGUGCAGAUCAUAUCGGGGAAUAUUUUACAUGCUGUCUGCGUUUUUGUUUUUCCCUGAUAGUGCAACGUUGUGUGUAGUGUUACCACAGCUAAUAAAAUUUGCUCAGACACGA